GACGAACGCUGGCGGCGUGCUUAACACAUGCAAGUCGAACGGAAAGGCCCUGCUUUUGUGGGGUGCUCGCGUGGCGAACGGGUGAGUAACACGUGAGUAACCUGCCCUUGACUUUGGGAUAACUUCAGGCAACUGGGGCUAAUACCGGAUAGGAGCUCCUGCUGCAUGGUGGGGGUUGGAAAGUUUCGGCGGUUGGGGAUGGACUCGCGGCUUAUCAGCUUGUUGGUGGGGUAGUGGCUUACCAAGGCUUUGACGGGUAGCCGGCCUGAGAGGGUGACCGGCCACAUGGGGACUGAGAGACGGCCCAGACUCCAACGGUAGGCAGCAGUGGGGAAUAUUGCACAAUGGGCGGAAGCCUGAUGCAGCAACGCCGCGGGCGGGAUGACGGCCUUCGGGUUGUAAACCGCUUUCGCCUGUGACGAAGCGUGAGUGACGGUAAUGGGUAAAGAAGCACCGGCUAACUACGUG
rnacentral:rRNA from 1 species